UACAGAGGGGGCAAGCGUUAUUCGGAAUUAUUGGGCGUAAAGGGCGCGUAGGCGGCAUGGCAAGUGGAUGGUGAAAUCCCUCGGCUUAACCGAGGAACUGCUGUCCAAACUGCUUCGCUUGAGAUCGGGAGAGGUGAGUGGAAUUCCCAGUGUAGCGGUGAAAUGCGUAGAUAUUGGGAGGAACACCAGUGGCGAAGGCGGCUCACUGGACCGGUACUGACGCUGAAGCGCGAAAGCGUGGGGAGCAAACGGG
rnacentral:rRNA from 1 species